rnacentral:rRNA from 1 species
UACGGGGGGGGCAAGCGUUGUUCGGAAUUACUGGGCGUAAAGGGCGCGUAGGCGGCCUCCGCAAGUCGACUGUGAAAUCUCUGGGCUUAACCCAGAACGGUCAGCCGAUACUGCGGGGCUAGAGUGCAGAAGGGGCAACUGGAAUUCUCGGUGUAGCGGUGAAAUGCGUAGAUAUCGAGAGGAACACCUGCGGCGAAGGCGGGUUGCUGGGCUGACACUGACGCUGAGGCGCGAAAGCUAGGGGGGCGAACGGG